rnacentral:rRNA from 1 species
ACUGAUAUGAAAGCUUGCUCGGAUUUGAAGAUGAACAUUGCAAAGAGUGGCGAACGGGUGAGUAACACGUGGGAAACCUACCUCUUAGCGGGGGAUAACACUUGGAAACAAGUGCUAAUACCGCAUAAUACUGAUAACCGCAUGGUUAUCAGUUGAAAGAUGGUUCUGCUAUCACUAAGAGAUGGUCCCGCGGUGUAUUAGCUAGUUGGUAAGGUAAUGGCUUACCAAGGCAAUGAUACAUAGCCGAGUUGAGAGACUGAUCGGCCACAAUGGGACUGAGACACGGCCCAUACUCCUACGGGAGGCAGCAGUAGGGAAUCUUCCACAAUGGACGAAAGUCUGAUGGAGCAACGCCGCGUGUGUGAUGAAGGGUUUCGGCUCGUAAAACACUGUUGUAAGAGAAGAAUGACAUUGAGAGUAACUGUUCAGUGUGUGACGGUAUCUUACCAGAAAGGAACGGCUAAAUACGUGCCAGCAGCCGCGGUAAUACGUAUGUUCCAAGCGUUAUCCGGAUUUAUUGGGCGUAAAGCGAGCGCAGACGGUUGUUUAAGUCUGAAGUGAAAGCCCACAGCUUAACUGUGGAAGUGCUUUGGAAACUGGAUAACUUGAGUGCAGUAGAGGAGAGUGGAACUCCAUG